rnacentral:lncRNA from 1 species
UAUGUCAAGAUUGACGUCUAGCAAUAUAUCAUGUGAAGGAAAACAUCAUGGGUGAUGUACAUGCAUUUUUAAAAAUUUUAUAGUAGAACAUACAUAGAUUAAAUAAUUUAAUUUAUAACAUAUGCAUAGAUCAAAUCUAAAUUACCAUACAGAAUUUAUGACAUAAACUAAUAUGUAUGUAUACACAUCUAAAAUCUAAAAUUCAGCAAGUAUAAAAUAUAUCUAAUUUAUAUUUAGAUCAUAUCUAAAUAUUAAUUGAAUUCAAAACUUCAUACCUA